rnacentral:rRNA from 1 species
CAGCCGCCGCGGUAAUACGAGGGGGGCAAGCGUUGUUCGGAAUUAUUGGGCGUAAAGGGUGCGUAGGCGGCUUGACAAGUCUUGUGUGAAAUCUAUGGGCUCAACCCAUAGUCUGCACGGGAAACUGUCGGGCUUGAGAAUGGGAGAGGUGAGUGGAAUUUCCGGAGUAGCGGUGAAAUGCGUAGAUAUCGGAAGGAACACCUGUGGCGAAAGCGGCUCACUGGACCAUUUCUGACGCUGAGGUGCGAAAGCGUGGGGAGCAAACAGGAUUAGAUACCCCCGUAGUCCCUGUCUCUUAUAC